rnacentral:rRNA from 1 species
CAGUCGCCGCGGUAAUGCGUAGGGUGCGAGCGUUAAUCGGAAUUACUGGGCGUAAAGCGUGCGCAGGCGGUUGUGUAAGACAGGUGUGAAAUCCCCGGGCUUAACCUGGGAACUGCGCUUGUGACUGCACGGCUAGAGUAUGGCAGAGGGGGGUGGAAUUCCACGUGUAGCAGUGAAAUGCGUAGAGAUGUGGAGGAACACCGAUGGCGAAGGCAGCCCCCUGGGCCAAUACUGACGCUCAUGCACGAAAGCGUGGGGAGCAAACAGGAUUAGAUACCCGCGUAGUCCCUGUCUCUUAUAC